rnacentral:rRNA from 1 species
GUGGGGAAUCUUGCGCAAUGGGCGAAAGCCUGACGCAGCCAUGCCGCGUGAAUGAUGAAGGUCUUAGGAUUGUAAAAUUCUUUCACCGGGGACGAUAAUGACGGUACCCGGAGAAGAAGCUCCGGCUAACUUCGUGCCAGCAGCCGCGGUAAUACGAAGGGGGCUAGCGUUGCUAGGAAUUACUGGGCGUAAAGGGCGCGUAGGCGGACAGCUUAGUCAGAGGUGAAAGCCCAGGGGUCAACCUUGGAAUUGCCUUUGAUACUGGCUGUCUUGAGUUUGGGAGAGGUUAGUGGAACUCCGAGUGUAGAGGUGAAAUUCGUAGAUAUUCGGAAGAACACCAGUGGCGAAGGCGACUCACUGGCCCAAUACUGACGCUGAGGCGCGAAAGCGUGGGGAGCAAACAGGAUUAGAAACCCCUGUAGUCC